AUGUUGAUUUUGUUUUUUGAAUGCGCAAAAAACUAGUACUCGUAAGGUUAAUACGAUCGAGGUAAAGUUUCUAUCGCGAAAUUAAAUUCCCCGUAACUAUUUUCGAUCAAAAAAUAAAAUUAACAAAAAAUUAUUUUGUUAAUAAACAAUACAGCUAUUACAGCUAUUCAGAUUCACAUAUUACGCUGAAGUGUAAUAUCAAUAUCUUUAAAUUAUUUUGAGCAAUUCUAACGCCUUUUUUUUUAAAUAUUAACCAUGAAAUCUUUUCUUUGCAAAACAAAUAAAUAAUAGAUAUCUAUUACUUUAAUUUUUAUUCAUCUCUGUUU